rnacentral:rRNA from 1 species
AUGGCAGCAGCAAUUCCCAGCGCCACCCGGAUCAGCCCGGACGACUGCUACUGCACUGAGCCCGGUUGUGGCUUCCAGGCCCCGCCACGGGCGCUCCUCGACCACCUCGUCGCCGUGCACUCCCUGCGCGCGGCCAGAAUCACCUACGGCGACCAGUACCAGCUCGUCGUGCCGGCGUCGGAGCGCCGGGUCCUCCUGAUCGCGGAGAAGGACGAGCGCGUGUUCCUCCUGGCCGUGGGCGACGCCGACGGCCUGGUAGAGAACUUCUGGGCGGCCGGUGCGGAGCAAGGCUGGGGCCCGUUCGUCAGCGGCGGCGACGAGAGCCGCGCGUUCAAGGCAGUCUCCGUGCUGUGCCUCAGGGCGUCCGCGGCCGCGGAGGCGGGGCCGCAGUACGUGACCGAGCUCUCCACCGCAGGUGAGACGAUGUCGACGGAGUCAGCCGUGUGGAGCUCGUCGGGGCCGUGCGAGCCCCCCCUGAAGUCCAUUAUGCCGGCGACCCUGCACGGGGCGUCCAAGGACGUGCAUCUCCGCGUACGCAUCAGCGUCGCAAAAAAGUCUCGGUUCUGGAAAAAGUUUCGCCACUCUUGGAAGUUCGGGUUUUUCGGAAGACUUUGUUGUUGUGUCAAGGUACUCCCUCCGUUCUGA